rnacentral:rRNA from 1 species
CCUACGGGAGGCAGCAGUGAGGAAUAUUGGUCAAUGGACGAGAGUCUGAACCAGCCAAGUAGCGUGAAGGAUGACUGCCCUAUGGGUUGUAAACUUCUUUUAUAUGGGAAUAAAACGUUCCACGUGUGGGAUUUUGUAUGUACCAUAUGAAUAAGGAUCGGCUAACUCCGUGCCAGCAGCCGCGGGAAUACGGAGGAUCCGAGCGUUAUCCGGAUUUAUUGGGUUUAAAGGGAGCGUAGGUGGAUUGUUAAGUCAGUUGUGAAAGUUUGCGGCUCAACCGUAAAAUUGCAGUUGAAACUGGCAGUCUUGAGUACAGUAGAGGUGGGCGGAAUUCGUGGUGUAGCGGUGAAAUGCUUAGAUAUCACGAAGAACUCCGAUUGCGAAGGCAGUUCACUGGACUGCAACUGACACUGAGGCUCGAAAGUGUGGGUAUCAAACAGGAUUAGAUACCCGUGUAGUC